UACGUAGGGUGCAAGCGUUGUCCGGAAUUAUUGGGCGUAAAGGGCUCGUAGGCGGUCCAUCACGUCGGGAGUGAAAAGCUGGGGCUUAACCCCAGUCCUGCUUCCGAUACGGGUGGACUAGAGGUAGGUAGGGGAGAACGGAAUUCCUGGUGUAGCGGUGAAAUGCGCAGAUAUCAGGAGGAACACCGGUGGCGAAGGCGGGUCUCUGGGCCGAUACUGACGCUGAGGAGCGAAAGCGUGGGGAGCGAACAGG
rnacentral:rRNA from 1 species